AAAACUGAAUGAUUUAGACAUCUUACAUGUAAGUAAUUAAAUCCAGAAAGACGGUUCCUUGAGUUAAGUUACAGUAAAAUAGCAAUAGUUGAGCUACUGUACAGUGAACUGUAGAAUUACUGAAAGUGUAAAGAUGCUUUACAGUAUAUUUAUUUUAUUUUGCUGUGAAUUAUCAUGUAGGAACUUCUGUAAGCACAUGACGUUACGUUUCAAACGUUAAUUUACAUAAAGACGAUUAUUCAAUGUCUGACAGAAAAAAGGAGGUAUUGCAGAUUAGCAAAUUAUAACAUUAAACAGACGUCUGAGUGAUUUGUUUAUGCUGAUGUAGAAUGCACUUUUGUCAAUACAGCUUAGGUGAGAUACAUGUAAUAUUAAUACAGUAAUGUUUUCUUCUGUUCUUUUGGUGAUACAUUUAUGAAAGUAUAAUUUUGAGCACACAAAUCACAGAGGUAACGUGACUUGUCUGGUUGUUAUAGAGAAGGAAGCACACAUGUUUGUGUGUUAGCUGAUGCAGAGUGACUGAACAAAUGCUAUCAUCAUAUUUGUUUAACAAAAUAUUGUAAUUUGAAACCGCUAUAACAACAAUUUCUUUAAUGUUGAUUUAUAUGCCAUUUCUGGGCUGGAGCAGGACUUGCAAGGCAAGAAAACAGAGAAAACCUGAAUUCAAAACAUGAAACUGGUGUGUGCAGUGAUGAUGAUAAAGAACAGCAGUGUGCUGAUGAAGGAAAUGUUGAAGAUGCUGUAGUGCCGUGGACAAGACCCUGCAUCCCUCCACCUGCCUGGGUGUCCUUAUCUGAGCCAGAUGUUGGUGUGGUCUCUUCAUCUUUAGUAUGAAUCGGUUUCUCAGGCAUGGACAGCCUUACCUCACAACUCUGUUCCAGUCUGACUGCAGCACUGAGGGAUGUGAUGGCAAAAACAAUUGAAGUCCAGCAUGCAGCAGAACAUGGGGUUUUGUCUGAAAUACAUGAUUGUUUGAAUAAGUUUGAAUAAAGCUUAGUUUUG